rnacentral:rRNA from 1 species
UGGGGAAUAUUGCACAAUGGGCGAAAGCCUGAUGCAGCGACGCCGCGUGAGGGAUGACGGCCUUCGGGUUGUAAACCUCUUUCAGCGAGGGAAGAAGCAGAAGUGACGGUACCUGCAGAAGAAGCGCCGGCUAACUACGUGCCAGCAGCCGCGGUAAUACGUAGGGCGCAAGCGUUGUCCGGAAUUAUUGGGCGUAAAGAGCUCGUAGGCGGUUAGUCGCGUCUGCUGUGAAAACUCGAGGCUCAACCUCGGGCUUGCAGUGGGUACGGGCUGACUAGAGUGCGGUAGGGGUGACUGGAAUUCCUGGUGUAGCGGUGGAAUGCGCAGAUAUCAGGAGGAACACCGAUGGCGAAGGCAGGUCACUGGGCCGCAACUGACGCUGAGGAGCGAAAGCAUGGGGAGCGAACAGGAUUAGAUACCCUGGUAGUCCAUGCCGUAAACGUUGGGCACUAGGUGUGGGGUCCAUUCCACGGAUUCCGUGCCGCAGCAAACGCAUUAAGUGCCCCAGCCUGGGGAUGUACGGCCGCAAGGCUAAAACUCAAAGGAAUUG